UACGUGUGUUUACACAAACCUUCUUCUUCUUCCAAACACUACUUACACAAUGAUGCUCCGAACACUUAUUUCAGCUUUACUCAUCCUUUGUUCCUAUUCUCUGCAUGGCCUAGCCCAACCUGGUGGAUGUCCUAGAUGUCCCUUAAUAUCAGCACCAGCUCGACCACGACCACCAGUAUACCCUCGACCACGACCACCACUAUACCCACCAGGACUUCAUCUCAUGCCUCGUCGCCCAGCAAACAAUCCUGGACCAUUGUCCAAUAGAGCCAGAAUUCUAUUCAUCACCCAAGAACUCAAAAGAAACAUCACCUAUGACCCACAAAACUAUACUGGCACUUGGGUUGGAAACAACUAUUGCCUUUUCAAAGGUUUCUUUUGUGACACUGUCCCUGACUUGAACAUCACUGGGCUCGCUCGCAUUACCUUCAAUGGCGCAAGAUUUGGUGGUACUUUCUUGAACUUUUAUCGCUUUAUUCGAAAUUUGCCAGACAUUGCUAUCUUCCAUGCCAAUUCUAAUAACUUUAGUGGGGUUAUUAAUAGAAACCUUAACCAACUACGUUAUUUAUACGAGCUGGAUUUGAGUAACAACAGGUUCCUUGGAAGAUUUCCAUCUAAUGUCCUAGGUGCCACAAAUUUAACAUUUGUGGAUCUUAGGUUCAACACUUAUGUUGGGGUAAUCCCACCUGGGGUAUUCAACAUUGACACAAACGUGUUGUUUAUCAACAACAACAGGUUCAUUCAGAAAAUUCCAGCCACAUUAGGUAACACACCAGCUUUGUACCUCACACUUGCCAACAACAAGUUCACUGGUGAAAUCCCACGUAGUAUUGGCCGAACUUGGAACACACUACUUGAAGUGCUCUUCUUGAACAACAGGUUGAACGGUUGUUUGCCUUUUGAAAUUGGUUACUUGCAAAAGUCCACAGUGUUUGAUGUCGGUGGCAAUUUAUUGACGGGUCCAAUUCCACAAUCAUUUGGGUGUUUGUUCAAGAUGGAGUUACUCAAUUUGGCUCACAACCAGUUCUAUGGGACUAUUCCAGAAUCACUAUGCAGGUUACCAAAUGCGUACAAUUUUUCAUUGUCUUACAAUUUCUUCACACAAGUAGGGCCUGUGUGUAGGAGAUUGAUCAGAGCAAAGAGGCUUGAUGUGAGGAGAAACUGCAUUACUGGGCUUCCACAGCAGAAAUCAGCAGCUGAGUGUACACGUUCUUUGCUAGGCCUAGAAGCUGCCCAAGAGAGAGCACUUUCAGCGUUGUUCCUUGUAGGCUUGCUACUACUGGUGAGUCUUCGGAAGAAGAAGAAUUUGAGGUUAUUCCUACAAUUGAUGAAAUGACUCCACCUUCACCUACGACCUAUGGUGCGCUUACAAAGCCUCACCAUUGAUGACCGGAAGGUAUAUAUAUUGUAGUGACUCGGUUCGUGAACUUUGUGAUAGAAUAAGAUUAUCCGAGUUUUUUAUUUGCUUUGUUAAUUAUGGCUAUUAUCAGCGUCAAUGCUUGCAAAAGUGUAAUUACCUUUUCUUUUUUUUUUUGGGGUGAAGGACGUUGCUGGAGAACUCAUGUUCCCUGCUGCUAGAAGUCCUUUUCUUUCUUAAUUUUUCUUUGGUUUUAUUUUUGCGAAUUCGGAACAUUGUGGUCUUUUCCAACAUUAUCGCGUUUUCUUGGUUUGCUAAAUAUUUUAUAUGAAAAUAAAACGAGGAUCUUUAUGUUUUA